rnacentral:rRNA from 1 species
ACUCCUACGGGAGGCAGCAGUGGGGAAUAUUGCACAAUGGGGGAAACCCUGAUGCAGCAAUGCCGCGUGAGUGAUGACGGCCUUCGGGUUGUAAAGCUCUGUCUUCGGGGACGAUAAUGACGGUACCCGAGGAGGAAGCCACGGCUAACUACGUGCCAGCAGCCGCGGUAAU